UGUCAGAUAACCCUUUUAGUUUUAAAAGUCGUGCCCCAAAAGCUGAUCCACGCGUCUGGUGACCCAAGAACUGGCACUUAUUUUGCUCAACGGUUAAGCGCCAGUGUAC